rnacentral:lncRNA from 1 species
GGUUAUAUGAGCAGCAGCAAUUCUCCUCCCUUUGUUAAACUUGGUACUUUCUGGAUACCCAUGAAACUUGUAACACUUAUCAAUUCAGUGCCCAGACUUCUUGCAGUAUCUACAGAAUAGAUGUCCUUUGGUUUGGUCAAAAUUAACUUUUUGUGUAUACUGUCUGAGAGAAGAAGGGUUGGGCACUGCAACUUGAUUCAUUCCAAAAGAAGGUGUAGAAUUUUUGUUUGUGUUGACACUGAAAGACAUAGAAUCAGGAUUGAAUUGGGAGAUGGACUGGACUUGUCUUUUUUUCUCAUCAUUGAGGAGUAUGUUAUAGACACUGUCAAGGAUAGGGGAGGCUGCAUCAUCAGCAAGUUGCUCCUUACCCCCAUAUAUGUCUCAUUAAGGCCCAUGAGGAAUUCGAACACCUUAUUCUCCUCAUCCUCCUAUAUGAUGCCACUUUUGGCAGCACAAAUGCACUUUUGGCCAUGAUUUGUACACACUACUCCUAAAUCAUCCUACAUUCCUUUGAGCUUGUUAAAAUAUGAUGCUAUAUCUAGAGGUCUUUGAGAAGUAUGAGAGAGUUCUCUUUUGAGUUAAAAUUUUUUGGUUCUAUUAGCUGUACCAUAUCUGGCUUCGAGUUGUGCCCAUAUACUCUGUGUAGUCUCAG